rnacentral:rRNA from 1 species
ACGAACGCUGGCGGCGUGCCUAAUACAUGCAAGUCGAACGAGAAUUUCUUACACCGAGUGCUUGCACUCACCGUAAAAAUUCGAGUGGCGGACGGGUGAGUAACACGUGGGUAACCUGCCCAAAAGAAGGGAUAACAUUUGGAAACAAAUGCUAAUACCGUAUAACCAUAAUGACCGCAUGGUCAUUAUGUAAAAGGUGGUUCUGCUAUCGCUUUUGGAUGGACCCGCGGCGUAUUAACUAGUUGGUAGGGUAACGGCCUACCAAGGUGAUGAUACGUAGCCGAGUUGAGAGACUGAUCGGCCACAAUGGGACUGAGACACGGCCCAUACUCCUACGGGAGGCAGUAGUAGGGAAUCUUCCACAAUGGCGCAAGCCUGAUGGAGCAACGCCGCGUGAAUGAAGAAGGUCUUCGGG